AAUCUUCCGCAAUGGACGCAAGUCUGACGGAGCAACGCCGCGUGAGUGAUGAAGGUUUUCGGAUCGUAAAACUCUGUUGUUAGGGAAGAACAAGUACCGUUCGAAUAGGUCGGUACCUUGACGGUACCUAACCAGAAAGCCACGGCUACCUACGUGCCAGCAGCCGCAGUAAUCCGUAGGUGGCAAGCGUUAUCCGGAAUUAUGGGGCGUAAAGCGCGCGCAGGCGGUUUCUUAAGUCCGAUGUGAAAGCCCACGGCUCAACCGGGGAGGGUCAUUGGAAACUGGGGAACUUGAGUGCAGAAGAGGAGAGUGGAAUUCCAUGUGUAGCGGUGAAAUGCGUAGAGAUAUGGAGGAACACCAGUGGCGAAGGCGACUCUCUGGUCUGAAACUGACGCUGGGGCGCGAAAGCGUGGGGAGCAAACA
rnacentral:rRNA from 1 species